CGAAGGAAACCUCAUAUGAAAUAGGGAAGGGCUAAAGAAAGGCUUGCUAACAUUCUCAUUGCUAUUAUCAUUUUUUUUUCUAGGGCUAAUGGCUCCAUAUAAGACAUGCACAUUCAUCUACCCAUGACAUCUAUGCAGAGCUUGGAACAGUGUCUCUCUAGGUCCUGCACUCACAGUGGUGAAUGAGACAGAGAAGGCCUUGGUCUGAUGAAGCUUACCUUCAGACAGACAAUAAGUAAGGGAGACCUGGGGAGACUCUGUCAUGUAUUGCGGCAGCCAUUCUCAAGACGGUCCUCGACGGUUUGUGCCUCCUGGUAUUCAUGGUCUUGGGCAGUUGCCUGCCACAUUGAAAUGGGCUGACCUAUGAA